rnacentral:lncRNA from 1 species
CCACCACGACUAUAAAUAAACUAACAACAAACCAUCUUUUCCAUGAAAAAAACAUAUAUGGACGGGUCAAAUGCAAUGGUGAAAAGAGAGCUCAGAAGAGACAAUAGCCGAAGAAGCCAUGGAUGAACAGGAGAGAGAAACUAUAAAAAUCAAAGAUUCUCCAAUCAAGGCACCUGAAAAAGGAAAAUGAGCAACCUCGAUGCUUUGAAUAGCUACCAAACAUGCC